AAGAUCAUACUUCAAGGGAUCAUUUCUAGAGUAUGAUUAACGCUAUACCUGUCAAACAGGUGGCAACACAUAGCCGCGAUGAGGAGCCGAGGGAUCUCUUCCUGAGCGGGAAGCCGAGUGAUAGCUGUCCGAUUGGAUGGCUACACUCAUUGAUGACUGUUCUCCUUCUUCGGAAGGGGUGGGAAGAGAUCCGUUCUGAGUGGU
rnacentral:snoRNA from 1 species